GCAGCCGCGGUAAUACGUAUGGGGCAAGCGUUAUCCGGAAUUAUUGGGCGUAAAGAGUGCGUAGGUGGUUACCUAAGCGCAAGGUUUAAUCUUGAGGCUCAACCUCAUUCUGCCUUGCGAACUGGGCUACUUGAGUGCUGGAGGGGAAAGCGGAAUUCCCAGUGUAGCGGUGAAAUGCGUAGAUAUUGGGAAGAACACCGGUGGCGAAGGCGGCUUUCUGGACAGUAACUGACACUGAGGCACGAAAGCGUGGGGAGCAAACAGGAUUAGAUACCCC
rnacentral:rRNA from 1 species